AUUGAACGCUGGCGGCAGGCCUAACACAUGCAAGUCGAGCGGAUGCAGGGAGCUUGCUCCUGGAUACAGCGGCGGACGGGUGAGUAAUGGCUAGGAAUCUGCCUGGUAGUGGGUGAUAGCGGCCGGACACGGGCGCUAAUACGGCAUAAGUCCUGAGGGAGAAAGGGGGGGAUCUUCGGACCUUCCGCUAUCAGAUGAGCCUAGGUCGGGUUUGCUGGUUGGUGGGGUAAAGGCCUACCAAGGCGGCGAUCCGUAAAUGGUCUGCAGAGAUGAUACGUCAACAUUGGACCUGGGAAACGGCCAAGAUCCUAACGGGAGGCAGAAGUGGGAAAUAUGGGACAAUGGGCGAAAGCCUGACCCAGCAAUGCCGGGUGGGUGAAGAAGGCUUCCGGAUGUUAAAGCACUUUAAGUGGGAAGGAAGGGCAGUAAGUAAAAACCUUGUUGUCUUGACGUUACCAACAGAAUAAGCACGGGCUAACUCCUU
rnacentral:rRNA from 1 species